CAUCGAUUUAUGUCUGGCUCUUGACUGCAUUUAUUGUAAUACGAAAAUGUUUUAAACGUGCUGCGAGCGUUUUGCCAGAGCUGGAAGCAAGCAGUGAGCUGCCUCUGGCCUGGCCAAAGACCUUACCCACGCACUACGCAUCCCCAGUCUCAGUCUCAGUCUCGUCUCACAGCAGAGUCGUUUCCGUUAAGUGUAGCCAGCAGUCACGACCAUAUCUCCCAGUGGGUCGUAGAUAUAAGUUGUUUCAAUAGCCCAAUUUCCACAAUUCAUCUUGCAGCGAAAAUGAGACGGCGAAUCUGUAGCUUCCCUGGGCUUCCCAGCUCCACAGCAGAUGUGCGCCAAAAUUAUUAUUUAUUAUUUAUUACGAUUGCGACAAUUGAACGCAAUUUCUUUUCGAAUGCGGAAGAUUUCAAUUUGCAGUUCCAGUCCCUCGCUGUCCGUAGAGUUAUUUUCUUUAUUUACAAAUUACGCGUACGUAAUCGUGCAGAGCACUUUGGUCUGUAUGACAGACUGACAUAAAUUUGAUAGAGAUGGGCUCGAAAUUAAUCUCAGGCUGUGGAGGACGAAUGUGUGAAUGUGAAUGUGAGUGCGUGGGAAAAUAUGCUGUGGUGUGGGAAGCCAUUGACUGAUGCUUGAGUCUGCCAAAAAAAUAUACGUCUAAUCGAACGGCAGAUAACGGACAAGACAGAGCCAGAUGCUGCCAACUUACAAAAAUUUCAGGAAAACUGGCUCGUGAAAUCAGGAGGCAUAUAUCAAGCCGCGGCAUAAUGGCCAUUCACCUAAACUGCAGGCAGACCACGCCUUUGCCCCGCUACCGAAGAUACAAACGAUCGAGGCAGCAUGAGCGAUGGAGUGCCAAAACCAUCACGUCAACAACAGCAUGACAAGCCAUAAAACUGCACCGAAGACGAACGAAGACAACCCAUCCAGGUGGUACAGUACUGUUGGCAUGUGGUGUGGCCCCCUUCGACCGCAAAAGUGUGAUUACCAAUUCGCAAUUUGAAAUGCAGGGGCGUCGUCCUCCCGUUUCGAUUGGCAGUAGCCCGAAAAUGCAUAUUGGCUAAUUAUUUGAGCUAUCCCAAAAUCCCAAACUCUGAAACUCGUGAAUAGCGGAAGCGACAAUUAUGCAAACAAUGAAGCGGAAAUUGUAAAUGAAGGAGAAAAGUUGAACAAACUUUGCAAACACUA